GUUUUAUUGCUGGUUUCAAUUGUCUGGAUCGAGCCUUUCCUCCUCUUGAGGCUGGGCAGGGCUGCUCAAACAGCUCCCUGUGCUCUCACCCCCGUGCCUCAUCGUGCUGGGUUUGGGCAUUUCCCCUUUGGAAACGAAUCCUCUGCAGCCUCUCUGAGGGCUGUGCACAACCUGAAGUAAUUGAAUUUGCCUUGGGUUGAACUCUUCUGGCACUCUCUAAAAAUAAACAUUCGAUUUCUUCUCCUUCCCGUGGAGCUGCCUCUGCAGGGAGCAGAACCAAACAAACUGGUGAAAAAUUAAAGAGGGAAACCCAGCAGAAGGGAUACGAGAUGGCAACAGCACAGCCCCGAGACUGUCAGGAGCCUAAACCCACAGCAGCCAGUGGCAAAUAAAUCCAGGGGAUGGCCUUGGGCACCUUUUGCGACAGUCGCGCUUUACAGCGCCUUUUACGACAGUCGAGCUUUACGGCGCCUUUUGCGACAGUCGCGCUUUACGGCACUUUUUACGACAGUAGCGCUUUACGGCACCUUUUACGACAGUCGCGCUUUACGGCACCUUUUACGACAGUCACGCUUUACGGCAGCUUUUACGACAGUUUUACGACAGUCGCGCUUUACGGCCGUAUUUACGACAGUCGCGCUUUACGGCACCUUUUACGACAGUUUUACGACAGUCGCGCUUUAUGGCACCUUUUACGACAGUCGCGCUUUACGGCAGUUUUACGACAGUUUUACGACAGUCGCGCUUUACAGCCGCCUUUACGACAGUCGCGCUUUACGGCCGUCUUUUCGGCAGUCGCGCUUUACGGCCGGCUUUACGACAGUCGCACUUUACGGCACCUUUUACGACAGUCGCGCUUUACGGCACCUUUGGAACGUGACAAUCCAGGGGACAUCAAACAUGACACAUGCUUGUGGUGAGGGCCUCGAGGGAAAAAGGCAAAAGGUGUGUGUGCCCCAAAGACACACUAGGUAACACAGCACACUGGACAACACAACAUAGACCAGAACUGUUCUGCACUGCCUGCCUGAAAGCUGCCAUCAAAAGUAGAGCCUCUCCCUUUAGCUGUCCUAAGAGGCCCUUGGGGAAGAUUGCUUUUCCCUCUGCUAAUUUUUAAAUCUGUCCCAAGAACUCCCCACCUGCUACUCUCCCAUCAUCCCAUCUCCAAGCCAUGGCCCUCAACUUAUCUUUUGGAUGAUUGGUGAUGUGGAUCCACGUUGCACCUGAAAUGAGUCUGCCUUGGAGGGCCCCGUGAUGGCCUGUUAGCUUCUUGGUUAGCUACAAUAAAGAAAACCAAAACCAUGCUGGCUGUUGUCCC
rnacentral:lncRNA from 1 species